GACGAACGCUGGCGGCGUGCUUAACACAUGCAAGUCGAACGGUAAGGCCCUUCGGGGUACACGAGUGGCGAACGGUUGAGUAACACGUGGGUGAUCUGCCCUGCACUUCGGGAUAAGCCUGGGAAACUGGGUCUAAUACCGGAUAGGACCACUGCCUGCAUGGGUGGUGGUGGAAAGCUUUUGCGGUGUGGGAUGGGCCCGCGGCCUAUCAGCUUGUUGGUGGGGUGAUGGCCUACCAAGGCGACGACGGGUAGGCGGCCUGGGAGGGUGACCGGCCACACUGGGACUGAGAAACGGCCCAGACUCCUACGGGAGGCAGCAGUGGGGAAUAUUGCACAAUGGGCGCAAGCCUGAUGCAGCGACGCCGCGUGAGGGAUGACGGCCUUCGGGUUGUAAACCUCUUUCAGCACCGACGAAGCGCAAGUGACGGUAGGUGCAGAAGAAGGACCGGCCAACUACGUGCCAGCCGCCGCAGUAA
rnacentral:rRNA from 1 species